UUUAACCAUUGUUAAAGGUUUCCAGUUCUGUGCCCUUCUGGAAGCAGUGUGGCCCCAGACUGACAACUGACCCUCAAAGAGGAAGGAAAGCCCUCACCUUGCUCCCCGACAAUACUGCAGUGCUGUUUCUCCUAACUUGUAACUGAUGCUUCCCUACUCUGUCCUUGGAGCUGUUAUUUAUUGAAAAUUGAAGUUGCCAUCCUUUCAGCUCCACAACAUUCUCUGAAGCCAAAUUUGUGACUUCAGGUUGGAUGUCGAUGGGUGAGUAAUCAGACAUGUGGGGCCAUGCCCAGUUUAACUUCAAAUAUUCACACUAAAUGGAGGGAAGAAGAGUCAAGAAAAAAAGAGAGGACAGAGUUUGAUAUGUAGCGGUCUCUUUAUUCAUUUAAUGGUAACAGGAAGCCCUCUCUGUCUCACGCCUGCUCCCACCCACAGGUCCUGGUGUACAUGUGGGUGGUGGGAGUUCUAAAAAUUUGAUCUAAGAUAUAGUCAAGGGGGGAAAAAGGUAAUUUAGAAGCUUCUAUUUAUUUAGCUUUAGGAUUCUUCCACACAAAUUCUAAUAAGUGUCUGUGGUGUUACGGUUUCUGCUAUUUGGAGAUAGUACUUUGGAUUUCUAUAGAAACUCUCUGUUGAAUAACAGUGCUCUGGAAGCCCAGAGCUAGGGGAAUGCUGGGUGCGUGACGAGGCUUUUUUAGGGUUAGAAGUGUAAAAGCAAUAGGACCUUUAAAAAAAAAUGACAGUGACAGAUAAAGAAGUUUACCCUCACCCCCUCCCAGCACUAUUUGUGCCUUAAAAAGAGAAAAACAAAAGUUCUUUUUAAUUUAAAGUGAAUUUCUAAGGAGAAAAAAAUUUAAUUGUUUUUAGAAUAUAACUGAUUAAAACGAAAACUGAAUGUUGAACUUGAGAAAACCAUACAAAUUAAAGAAAAUGCACAUAAGGUUUAAAAGAAAAACUUCCUGUGAUAUGAUGACUAUGCAUAUUCAACACAACUUUGGAAAACAUUGUUUUUUCACUUUAAGGAGCAAUCUUUCCCUUCACUUAGUGCUCUAGUGAGCAAUUGUUCAGGAAGAGUAAGAGGGUGGGUUUUCUUAGAGGUCAAGAAUCAGAGCUGUAGGAGACUGAAUUAUGGGCUUGACUGGAAGACUGUGAUACAUUGAUGAGCUUCUUCACGACUCCAAGGGAUGAUUUGUUUGUGCUUUGAUACAUGGUAUUUCAAAACCAAAUUGUACGUGUAUUCACCAACAAAAGAAACUGAAGAAAUUGCAUGAGAUUAAAAGUUACAAAGA
rnacentral:lncRNA from 1 species